AUUGAACGCUGGCGGCAGGCUUAACACAUGCAAGUCGAGCGGAGAUGAGGUGCUUGCACCUUAGCUUAGCGGCGGACGGGUGAGUAAUGCUUAGGAAUCUGCCUAUUAGUUGGGGACAACAUUCCGAAAGGAAUGAUAAUCCCGCAUACGUCCUACGGGAUAAAGCAUGGGCUCUUCGGCCCUCGCGCUAAUAGAUGAGCCUAAGUCGGAUUAGCUUGUUGGUGGGGUAAAGGCCUACCAAGGCGACGAUCUGUAGCGGGGCGGAGAAGAUGAGCCGCCAAAAUGGGACUGAGACACGGCCCAGACUCCUACGGGAGGCAACAGUGUGGAAUAUUGGACAAUUGGGGGAACCCUGAUCCAGCCAUGCCGCGUGUGUGAAGAAGGCCUUAUGGUUGUAAAGCACUUUAAGCGAAGAGGAGGCUACUGAGACUAAUACUCUUGGAUAGUGGACGUUACUCGCAGAAUAAGCACCGGCUAACUCUGUGCCAGCCGCCGCCGUAAAAC
rnacentral:rRNA from 1 species